ensembl:lncRNA mucin-5AC-like
GGUUGGGUAUGGGCAGAAUCCUAGAUGAUAGAAAAGCAUCACUCCUCUGCGUUUGAGAGAAUGUCUGAAUUCUGAACCCGAAGGGGAGGGGGAGUAGUUUUGUAUAAAAGUUUGUAAUUUCCCCCAGUACUUUUUCGAGCAACGUUAUUUCUCUAUUAUACAUCCUGUGGCGGUGAAUGUUCUCUGUGGCUUCAUGGCCCAGCAUCCUGAGAGGGAUGCACUAGACUGCACUGCAUUUCCUCACUCUGUUAGUGACACAGUCUACAGCAGGCUACUAGAGUAACAGGGAAAGAUAACUAUACACAAGGGUUACUCAAAAUGGACAAAAUACAGUUUACUUUUCCCUGGCUAAUUGUCCUUUUGGGUCUCGUCCUGGCUUCUACCACCACAGCCCAGACACAGCCAGUCAAUCCCACUGUAACCCAGCCCACCUCAGCCUCCAACCCAGCCAACGACACAGCCACUCCAGGACAUGCCAUGGCUGUAGACAACGAUGAUUUAACAUUAUCCGCCAUAACCCCAAGCCUUCCUGAUCUAAUGUUUGAUAACGGUCCUAUAACCAAUUCCACCGGGAGGCCUAACCACACGGUAACUACACCACUGAAGACCAGUUCAGAUGCAUCUCCAGGACCUACAUCCUGGCCCUCACCAAUGGAAGUCUCUACAUCAAAGCCCCCAGCAGAGGCCAGCAGUACAACUGCUGGCACUUCUGCUACUAGCACCACCAAGAAUACAGGUUUGGCGGGAACUGCUCAACCAAAACCCUCUGCGAGAAAAUCGCCCCACAUUGGAUUGAUCAUCUUGAUUGUGAUCCUCAUCACUUCCUGUGUGCUUGUAGCAGCAUGCUUCUUUACAAAGAAGACAUCAAGGAGGUACUCCGUAGAUCUCCGAGACAGGCAUGAGGAUCUGCCUCUGAGUACUGCGGAUCCUGACGCCGUGUUUGACAACUCCUCAACACAGAAGGAGAUGGACACCUUUACCGCCGUGGAUCUCAGCAGCACCGAGGUCCUGGUUAAGGGAAGUGAGGGAGAAAGAGCAGAUAGUGAGAACAUCUCUGACUCCCCACCGCCUGCCAGCCCUGUGGACAAACCUGAUGAUGGGGCCCCUGGAGAUGUGGCCCCUGAGGCCCCAGCGGGGGAGACUGAUGACGAGAACACUGUCUCCAAUAAGACCUCAGUGGAGUCAGUGGAGGCCAACGAGAACAACAACAACAACAACACCAUCACCACCGCCAGGAUCGCUUCAACAUCUCCAAGAGGACGGGCCAUGACCAGCAGCUUCUCUGAGGUUCCUCUGGACAACCCGGCCUAAAAGACAUCCUCCUUUAUCUGCAGCCCCUUCACAACCACGGCUGAAGAAAAAACGUGAAGUAAAAGAUAAAUUCAUCGGAAACGCCUGAAAACGAAGUAUUUCUUUCAAUUCAUAUUAUAUAGGCGGGUUGAUUAAGUUGAUGUUUUCCCUGUCUAUAAACAAUUUAACUAUUGUUGUCUUUUAUAUCUCAGGAUAACCUACGGAAAUGCUAAAUUAAAUUUCACAAAUGCUAUCAUUAUAUUCUGGUACUUUUAUUAUACUGUAUUUUUGUUAUCAUAGCCUUCGGAGUUAAUACGCCUAAUUUUGAUUCAUUCAUUUAAAUUCUAAACAUAUGCCCUGCGUCAUAGGGUCCAUGUCUCUUGUGUGUGCGUGUGUGUGUGUGUGUGUGUGUGUGUGUGUGUGUGUGUGUGUGUGUGUGUGUGUGUGUGUGUGUGUGUGUGUGUGUGUGUGUGUGUGUGUAUAGAUAGGAAGUAUGUCUUUAGGGAAGAGUAGCAGUGUCAGAAUGUGUUCAUGUUGUUGUUCUGAUUUACUUAGGAUUUAUACCAAGGCAUUGUUGAAUACUGAUUUCUGAUUGGCUUGAAGGGCAUUCUAGAAAGCUGCAUUAUUUAUUUACAUAAACUCAUAUGAAGUCAUACGAGAUAUGAGGUCAUGUAUGAACUUAAAAUUGUUAACAUCUCUGUUUCCAAGAUACAUUUUUGGGGAGAUCAGUUUCAAAUGUUUAUGCAGAUUUUUCACAUUCCCCUCAAGCUAUAUUGUCAAUUCAUUUGUCUUUUUGAAAAAAAACGGCAAUACUUCCAUCGCCAUUGUCUGUACAUUUUAUUUGCAUGGAUUUGAUUAUAUCCUUUUUGGCUGUUUUGAUGUCAGUAGCUAGAUAAAUGUAGUGAAUGUCUCACAAUGUGUCUGUUAUUGGGCGAUCUCAGUCCUACUCAGCGUGAAGCUUGUGUUUUAUUCAUGUUCUUCAACUUCCCCUCGUGUCAGCUGGGCCUCGUUCAGGAGCCAAACGUUGUGGAAACGUUGCAGAUAGAAAUGUCAUGAUUAGAGCUGACGUGAGACCUGAUUCCGCAUCUCACAGAGGCAUGUCUGUUCUGCAAAAUAUAUUUCUGAACGUUUCACAAUGUUGUGCCCUGCUAAAUGCAGCCCUGAUCCCCCACAUACAGUGAACUGGACCCUGCUAUUGCGAGGCCACCUGUUAAUACCCUCAUGAAUUAGAAACCAGGCUAUCGAGCCAAUCCACUGCAUAUCCAUCCAAGAAGACAUCCUAAAAGGCUUAUGGGUGGAUUGCUCUGGAUGAUGCUAAUAAUAGCAGAUAUGCUAUAAUUUCCACGUAGUAAAACACAACAAAAAGGAGAGGAAAGGGAGGCCAGGGCAACAGUCCAAGCCAAGAAGAUAGCAGUGUUGGUUCAUGAUCCAGGGGAAAUGAAAGUGAUACUGUGAUAUAGCUUCGCUAUGACAGAAAGAUACAGCUGGGAGAGGUGGGAUACGGGCGAGAACUCCAAACUGUUUCCUUUACAGGAUAGUUUAUCCUCUUUCUACACACUCAUUCACAAACAUCCCAAUGUAGUGUGUCAAAAUAUAUCUCCUUUUUUUUCAUGCAUCAAGUCUAAAAUCUUGACACAAAUGAAAUGUUAAAAGCUAAGUAGUCUAGAAGAUGUUUCCAUAAACAAUGCUCUGUCUAGAACACCUGUUUCUCUUGUUUGUACAUUUUAAUAAAUCUAUCAAAAACAU